GAUGAACGCUGGCGAGAUGCCUUAUACAUGCAAGUCGUACGAGAUUAAACUCAAGUGGCGGACGGGUGAGUAACACGUAAGAAUUUGCCUUUAGGAGGGGGACAACAAUCCGAAAGGGUUGCUAAUACCCCAUAUGCUUUCGAGUGAAAUGAUUUUUUCGCCUAAAGAGAAGCUUGCGGCUGAUUAGCUUGUUGGUGAGGUAAUGGCUCACCAAGGCGACGAUCAGUAUCUGGUUUGAGAGGACGAUCAGACACACUGGAACUGAGACACGGUCCAG
rnacentral:rRNA from 1 species